UACGGAGGGGGCUAGCGUUGUUCGGAAUUACUGGGCGUAAAGCGCACGUAGGCGGAUAUUUAAGUCAGGGGUGAAAUCCCGGGGCUCAACCCCGGAACUGCCUUUGAUACUGGGUAUCUGGAGGUCGAGAGAGGCGAGUGGAAUUCCGAGUGUAGAGGUGAAAUUCGUAGAUAUUCGCGAGAACACCAGUGGCGAAGGCGGCUCACUGGCCCGAUACUGACGCUGAGGCACGAAAGCGUGGGGAGCAAACAGG
rnacentral:rRNA from 1 species